rnacentral:rRNA from 1 species
UACGGAGGGUGCAAGCGUUAUCCGGAUUCACUGGGUUUAAAGGGUGCGUAGGUGGGUCUGUAAGUCAGUGGUGAAAUCUCCGGGCUUAACCCGGAAAUUGCCAUUGAUACUAUAGGUCUUGAAUCAUCUGGAGGUAAGCGGAAUAUGUCAUGUAGCGGUGAAAUGCUUAGAUAUGACAUAGAACACCAAUUGCGAAGGCAGCUUACUACGGAUGUAUUGACACUGAGGCACGAAAGCGUGGGGAUCAAACAGG